GACGAACCGUGCGAACGUUGUUCGGAAUCACUGGGCUUAAAGGGCGCGUAGGCGGGCUGUCAAGUCUGGGGUGAAAUGCCGCGGCUCAACCGUGGAACUGCCUCAGAUACUGACGGCCUCGAGGAAGGUAGGGGCUUGCGGAACUGUGCGUGGAGCGGUGAAAUGCGUUGAUAUGCACAGGAACUCCGGUGGCGAAGGCGGCGAGCUGGACCCUUUCUGACGCUGAGGCGCGAAAGCCAGGGGAGCGAACGGG
rnacentral:rRNA from 1 species